rnacentral:misc_RNA from 1 species
GAUGAAGAACGUAGCGAAAUGCGAUAAGUAAUGUGAAUUGCAGAAUUCAGUGAAUCAUCGAAUCUUUGAACGCACCUUGCGCUCUUUGGUAUUCCGAAGAGCAUGCCUGUUUGAGUGUCAUGAAAAUAUCAACCUUGACUUGGGUUUUGUGCUCUAGUCUCGGCUUGGAAUUGGGUGCUUGCCGCUUUUACGAGCGGCUCACCUUAAAUGUAUUAGCUGGAUCUGUCUUUGAGACUUGGUUUGACUUGGCGUAAUAAGUAUUUCGCUAAGGACAUUCUUCGGAGUGGCCUCGUUUCUAGGACGCUUGUCCGCUUUCCAAUACAAGUUCCACCUCGUGGACAUGACUUUUUAUUAUCUGGCCUCAAAUCAGGUAGGACUACCCGCUGAACUUAAGCAUAUCAAUGCGGAGA